rnacentral:rRNA from 1 species
ACUCCUCAUCGCAUGGUGGGGGGUGGAAAGCUUUAUUGUGGUUUUGGAUGGACUCGCGGCCUAUCAGCUUGUUGGUGAGGUAAUGGCUCACCAAGGCGACCACGGGUAGCCGGCCUGAGAGGGUGACCGGCCACACUGGGACUGAAACACGGCCCAAACUCCUACGGGAGGCAGCAGUGGGGAAUAUUGCACAAUGGGCGCAAGCCUGAUGCAGCGACCCCCCGUGAGGGAUGACGGCCUUCGGGUUGUAAACCUCUUUCAGUAGGGAAGAAGCGAAAGUGACGGUACCUGCAGAAGAAGCGCCGGCUAACUACCUGCCAGCAGCCGCGGUAAUACCUAAGGCGCAAGCGUUAUCCGGAAUUAUUGGGCGUAAAGAGCUCGUAAGCGGUUUGUCGCGUCUGCCGUGAAAGUCCGGGGCUCAACUCCGGAUCUGCGGUGGGUACGGGCAGACUAGAGUGAUGUAGGGGAGACUGGAAUUCCUGGUGUAGCGGUGAAAUGCGCAGAUAUCAGGAGGAACACCGAUGGCGAAAGGCAGGUCUCUGGGCAUUAACUGACGCUGAAGAGCGAAAGCAUGGGGGAGCGAACAGGAUUAGAUACCCUGGUAGUCCCAUGCCGUAAACGUUGGGCACUAGGUGUGGGGGACAUUCCACGUUUUCCGCGCCGUAGCUAACGCAUUAAGUGCCCCGCCUGGGGAGUACGGCCGCAAGGCUAAAACUCAAAGGAAUUGACGGGGGCCCGCACAAGCGGCGGAGCAUGCGGAUUAAUUCGAUGCAACGCGAAGAACCUUACCAAGGCUUGACAUGGACCGGAAAUGCCUGGAAACAGGUGCCCCGCUUGCGGUCGGUUCACAGGUGGUGCAUGGUUGUCGUCAGCUCGUGUCGUGAGAUGUUGGGUUAAGUCCCGCAACGAGCGCAACCCUCGUUCUAUGUUGCCAGCGCGUUAUGGCGGGGACUCAUAGGAGACUGCCGGGGUCAACUCGGAGGAAGGUGGGGACGACGUCAAAUCAUCAUGCCCCUUAUGUCUUGGGCUUCACGCAUGCUACAAUGGCCGGUACAAAGGGUUGCGAUACUGUGAGGUGGAGCUAAUCCCAAAAAGCCGGUCUCAGUUCGGAUUGGGGUCUGCAACUCGACCCCAUGAAGUCGGAGUCGCUAGUAAUCGCAGAUCAGCAACGCUGCGGUGAAUACGUUCCCGGGCCUUGUACACACCGCCCGUCAAGUCACGAAAGUUGGUAACACCCGAAGC